CAGGAUCACCACUCGCACCUUCACACACUCACACGUAUCUCUUUUUUUUUGAAGCUCACUCACACGUAGCUCUUGAAUAUUCUGAAACAAAAACGUAGCUCUCGCUGCACUCCCUUUUCAUGUUCUUCCGUCCCCUCGCUCCACCAAAAAUCCAAAAUUGCUUCCACUCGAGCUCAAGAUUCCCAACAACACCUCAAUUCCCCUCUUGAUUCCUUGCCGUGACCUUGCUCGUCCUCAGCUGCACGCACCGCUGCAGCUCGGCUCACUGGUGCGGCCACGGGGUGAGCCUAGUUUGGCUCACUGUACGCCUCCUCGAUCUCUCAGUCCGGCAACAGCGACGGAGGGGUAGUAGGGCUCGAUGAGAAGCUGCGCCAUGGAGGAUGCGAGCUUGCCGAUCUUGACCGUGUCGUCCUUGUUAGCGUCCUUGGAGGGGAUGUGGGCGUGGAUCUCGUCUCCCGGAGCCAGCUUGGAUCCACAUAGAUUGUGAGGAUGCUGGCGGCGUUGUUUUCCCUCGCAUCGUGGUUGUCCCCGAGCAAGGCAGCCCGGUAGGUCGUCUUCAUCCUCGACAGUGGCGGCCUGAAUUCAGCGACUCGUUCUUCCACGUAGAGGUCCCCGCUUCUCCCUUUUCCUAUCUUUCUCAUAUAUCUUUUUCUUGUUUCUUAUCCUGUCUCUGCAUGUGUAUGGCUAAACCAAUAUAAUGUGCAUUAAGGUACAGCUUGGUAGUGAAAAGAUGUAAAUUUAUUUAUGCCCCCUCCACCUUUUUCUGUACUUGGGACUUGCGUCGGCAGAGGCCCCUCUGCCCUCGUUCAGAUUCAACAAAUUUAAUAAGUAAUUAGUUUAUUUGUGAUUAGCUAUAGCUUUAAGAUUUCCCAAAGAUUGAAUUAAUUUUAAUAAGUGAUAUGAAAAUAGGUGCUGUUACAUUUUGCAUAUUAACUGUAACUAUCUGUGGAUACUGUCACUAUUGUAUUGCACGAUAUGAUAAGCUUAAAAUAUCUGAUAAUAUAUAGUGUCGACAAAUUAUAAUAUUGAGUUAUUUCCAUUGAAUGUUGAUGCAUGUUUCAAAUACUUCUGGGAGUAGUAGAUUAUAUCUGUCCUGCCAUAUCAUGUUAUUAGCAUAGAAAAGUCAGUUUUGCUCCAUGUACUUAUGGUUAUCUAAAAAGGCUAGUAGCAUUUGUAAGUGUGUGUUUAGUUCCUACCUUCAGAAUAUUUUUGUGUAGACUAUGUUCUUGACCACAUCAUCCUUGUUGUUAGUUCAUUUGCUAUAUAAAAGAAAAUAACAGGUGUGAUCAAGUCAAUAGGAUAUUACUUGCGAGUGUUUUUUCUAAGUAUUCCCUUUCUCUUAUGUUUCUCAUGAACUCCUUGAGCUUUAUGUGGAACACUCGGUCAACAAUAUCAGACCUUUCUCCUCGCAAAAAAAAGAGGAAAACCAACAAUAUAAGAUCUUCCUGCUGCUGCUUGGCCUACUUCCUGUAGCAUAGAUAGAUUGAAUCUCCGGCCAAGUUGUGUUGCAUGUGAAUGUCACAAAUAGGUCUGUGUAUCCAAGCGACUGACAUAUUUACAUAGCAUCUUGGUAGUUUUGUGCUUUGUAUCUUGGGCUAUCUGUCAAGCUGGAUGGCACAUGGCAGUUGUAUUCUCCUUCAUACCUGGUCAACCGUUGUAUUUCUAUUGCGCCUUGCAAGUCAGCAUACAAUUCGUUCUUAGGUUACCUUGAUGUCUUUCGAUCCAGUCUAUUUGUAAAGCAAAAUAUAUGCAAGGGCAAUGAACUGCAAUUUAGGCUUUUCACACACCAGCAAGUGUUUCGACAGGUUAGUAUGUUGUUGUAUAUGAUUCUCAUAGUAUUCCAACAUUGUUAUAUCCUUUCUCUUCCACUUUGCACCUUCUUUUUGUUAGGAAUGGGCAACUCACAUUCACAGGAGGGCCAAGGGCUAGUACAUAUACAUGUGUAUGACAAAGGCAAGAAAGACUAUACACAUCUAACACCCCCCCUCAAACUCAUGGUGGAUCAACAACACUGUGUUUGGAAAGAAGAAAACUAUGCUGCGCUCGAGUCUGUGCCUUCAUGAAGAGAUGGCACAUAGUGAAGAGCGAGAGUCUGAUCUUGCACAGCAGCACGUACAAAAUGGGGAUCCACACCGAUGUGCUUGGUGAGCUCAUGCUUCACCGGGUCACGCGCAAUACUGAUAGCACCAGUACUGUCUGACAAUAAGGGAGUCGAGGUAGUAGCAGAUACACCAAAGUCCUCAAGUAACCACCGUAACCAGAUCACCUCAGCUGUCAGCAUAGCCAUGGCUCGCAACUCAGCCUCUGUACUCGAGCGAGAAACUGCAGUCUGUUUCUUUGUCUUCCAGGCAAUAAGAGAGCCACCAAGAAAGACACAAUAAGUAGACAGCGAGCGUCGAUCAGAGGGAUCACUAGCCCAGGUAGCAUCAGAGUAGGCCUGGAGCUCAAGAGAGCUGGAGCAGGGAAAGAAAAGGCGCUGAGAGAGCGUGCCACGGAGAUAUCGUAGAACACGGAGGAGAUGACUAUAGUGGACAGAGGUGGGUGCUGCAACGAACUGACUCAGGAUAUGAACAGGAUAGGAGAUAUCAGGACGCGUAACAGCAAGAUAUACAAGACUGCCAACAAGGUGACGAUAGCGAGUGGGGUUAGGAAGAGGGUCACCAUCAGAGGCACGAAGCUGAACGUUGAGCUCCAUAGGAGUCACAACUGUGCGCUCAUCACCGAGAGCAGCACGAGUAAGAAGAUCCUGAAUAUAUUUUUCUUGGGAGAUGUAGAAGCCAUCAGAGGUCGAGGAGAUCUCAAUCCCAAGAAAAUAGCGAAGUGGACCAAGAUCAGUCAUGAGGAGCUGGCCGCGAAGGCGAGCCUUAACAAAGGCUAUGUAGUCAGAGUCAUCACCAGUGAUGAUCAUGUCAUCAACAUAGAGAAGAAGCAGAGUCCGACCACGAGGAGACGUGUGAACAAACAAUGCGGGAUCAUGAUCACUGGGCAAGAAACCAGCGGCAGUCACCACCAGAGGCGAAGCGCUCAGACCAGGCACGAGGGGCCUGUUUAAGGCCAUAGAGGGAGCGGCGAAGUCGACAGACCAUACCAUCAGGAGCAUAGUACCCCGGUGGUGGCUGCAUAUAAACCUCCUCACGCAACUCGCCAUUAAGGAAAGCGUUCUGAACAUCAAGUUGAGAGAUAGACCAAUGACGAACAGAAGCAACAGCAAGAAGAGUGCGAACAGUGGUCAUGUGGGCCACAGGAGCGAAUGUCUCAUCAUAAUCGCGUCCCUGCUCCUGCUGAAAACCACGGGCCACAAGGCGCGCUUUGUAGCGCUCAAGAGAACCAUCAGAGCGAGUCUUAAUCUUGUAGACCCACUUGCAGGUGAUGGGAUGGACACCGGAAGGAAGGGAAACCAGAUCCCAUGUGCCAGAGCGCUCAAGGGCAGCAAGCUCUUCGGCCAUCGCAAGCUGCCAUUCAGGCUGAGUCAUGGCAGUCCGAUAGGAAGUGGGCUCAGCAAUAACAGAGAGACCGUACCGAUCGGGAGAGUAGCGAUCAGGCGGGGGGCGAGGCCGAGCACGGAGGUUAUGAACCGGGGGAGGUGUGAAAGGAGGUGCACCAGAGGUGGAGGGCGCAUCAGGGGAAACAUCCUCAGAACGAGGGCGACGAGUAUAGUGAAGAGGAAAUGGUGAGAGAGGGGGACGGACUGGAGAUGAUGGUGGAGAGUUGGAGGAGGAUGGGGAAGAUGGUGUCGGUGGUGAAGGAGAAGGAAGGAGAGGUGCAGGCGGAGGAGGAAAGACAUGAGGAGGCACAUAGCAGGGUGUAUCAGGGAGAAGAAGAAAGGAAAGAUCAUCCACAGAGAAGCUCGAGGUAGAAGGACGUGGGUAGUAAGAGCGAGACUCGUCAAAGGUCACAUCACGCGAGAUGCGCAAACGACGGCCAACAGGAUCCCAGCAGCGAUAGCCCUUGUGCUCAUCACUGUAGCCAAGAAAAACACACUCAACCGACUGAGCAGUCAGUUUGGUGCGUUCUCGCGGGGCAAGAAGGACAUAGCACACACAUCCAAACAUACGAAGAGCGGAGUAGUCAGGAGAGCGACCAGUGAGACACUCCAUAGGAAUACCACCCUGUAGGACAGUCGAUGGCUGUAUGUUGAUGAGAUAGGUGGAUGCAGAAACAGCCUUAGCCCAAAAGUGGGGUGGAAGAGAAGCGGCAAUCAUCAGAGCGCGAGCCGUCUCAAGUAGAUGACGAGCUUACGUUCGGCAACGCCAUUCUGAGCAUGUGCACCCGGACAUGAGAACUAGGCAAGGGUACCCUGUUCUGCAAGAAAACCACGCAGCAACUGGGAGAUAAACUCACCAGCGGAGUCAGCACGAAAAGUGCGAAUGGGCGUGGAAAACUGGGUGUGAACCAUGGCAGCAAAAUGUUUGUAUAUAGAGAGAACCUCGCUACGAGAUUUCAUGAAGUAGAGCCAAGUGUAGCGAGAGAAAUCAUCAAUAAACAAGAUAUAGUAGCGGUGACCACCUUUAGAAUCAAAGGGAGAAGGACCCCAUACAUCAGAAUGAACUAAGUCAAAAGGAUGCUGAGAUACCGACUCACUGGUAGGAUAAGGUAACUGGGUCUGUUUGCCAAGUCUACAGCCAUUACAAUGUAAAGAAACAUCGCCAGAUACUGACCCUAAGAGGCCCUGACGGACUAAAGAAGACAAGCGAGAGCCACAUAUGUGACCAAGACGAUGAUGCCACUGCUGGAAGGACGCAGACGAAGAGGCAGCAAGAGCAUGGGAGCUGGCUGAAGUGGUGGCAGCGGAAGGAACACAAAGCCAGUCAACCUCCCAAAGGCCCUCGGACUCACGGCGUCGGGGGCCAGCACCAACCAAAGCCUUGGUGCGACGAUCCUGAAUGAAGCAAGAGUCGGUAUCAAGAAUGAAACGACAACCAGAAUCAGUAAGUUGGGCAGCGGAAAAAAGGUUCAUGGUGAGGCGAGGAACAUGUGAAACACUAGGAACAGAAAAAGAUGGAGUAGAAAGAAGACCACGGCUAGCAACAGGAAGAGAUGUGCCAUCAGCGGUAAGAACAUUAACAGGCGAAUCAAGCGGUCGGAGAGAAGACAGCACGGAAGAAUCAGAAGACAUAUGAAAAGAGGCUCCAGAAUCCAGAACCCACGAAGAUGUACCUGACUGUGUAGAUGCCUGCGGUGGUGGAGCAGUGGCUGCAGUCACAGCAGCAGCAGAACCGGUCGACGAAGAGCCUGAGGAAGCUAAGAGACGCUUGAGCCUCAUAAUGUCCUGGUCAGUGAGUGACGGGGUCGAGGAGGAUCCCGGAGUCCCACUGGAAGAGGAGCGCCUCUGGUCUCGCUUCUUCUCACGGCAAUCAGACUCUGGGUGACCUGGCCGUGAGCAGUAGCCACAGAAGGUGUCACGGCGCGACCGGCCCCUCUCGGCAGAGGAACGACCCACCCCCCUGAAGGAGUAGGCAGGAGCGGUGGAGCUGUGAGGCGAGCAGGUGGCAUAGGAGCUCGGGCAGCCAACACUGAUGGAACCACAAGUAACCCAGCAGAGCAAAGUCGAGUCUCUUCAGCACGGAGCUCAGCAAGUAUCUCCGAGAUAGGAACACGACCACGAGCAAGCAGGUGAGCACGGCGAGGCUCGAACUCAGAGCGAAGACGAGAUAAGAACUCGUGAACCCGCUGAAACUCCAAAUCGGACCGUGUAGUCUGACAACAACGGUAAGUUCCACAAACGACGGUCCGAAGAGAAGCUGACGCCAGAUGGCAGAGCACUGUGAAUAGAACUCAUCAAUAGAGGAAUCACCUUGCUGGAGUGCAUGCUCCUGACGCACCACAGAUAGGUAGAGAGCAUCACCAGAGGGCUGAUAGCGCUGACAGAGAUAAGACCACAUCGCUGCAACUGUGCCAAGUCCCAUGAACUCCGAGGCGAACUGAGGAAGGACACUCGCAGUAAGAACAGCAGCAGCACAAGCAUCAUCGUUGCACCAUUGAGUGUAAGCAGACAGUUCAUUACGAUAGGCAGAAAGGGCAUCCGAAUAAGCUGACAUCUGCUGAUCAUAGGCAUCAACUGCAGUAUCAUCGAGAGCCUUGGCGGCAUCGCGAUCGGCCUGAGAAGCAUCAGCAGCAAGAACCGGCGGUGCUGGCGGGGUAGGAGCCACAGGAGCAAGAGGGCAAGGCGGACAGGGGACCUCACCAGAGAGAACACCCCACAGAAGGAGACCGCGCAUAUGGAUCCGCAUGAACCCCGCAAACUCGGCAUAGUUGGUGCCAUCGAAGAUCACCGAGCACCGAGGAACGGCGACAUAGCCCGAAGAAGACAUGAGGAGCUCCUCUGUUUUUUUUUUGGUCAACCGCUACAGGGGACCCCGAUCCAGACCGGGAUCAGGCUCGCGCUGGCCCGAUCCAGCCCCGAUGGAGGAAGCGGGGGGGAAGGGCGAGCGUGGGAGGACCGGACCAGGGCAGCACCGGCUGCAGCAGGCAGCCAGAGGUGGCCGGGCGCAGGAGGUUGUGGCCGAGCGCAGGAGGGCGUAGGGAGGUGGCGGCUGGGCGCGGGGAGGAGGCUGCCGGGCGCGGGAAGGCGCGGGGUGGAGGCUGCCGGGCGCGGGGAGGCGCGGAGAGGUGGCUGCCGGCCGCGGCCGAGCACGGGGAGGUGCGGGGCGGCGCGAAGCGGCGAGGGCAGACCGCGGGUGCACUCGGGGAGGCGCGGGACAGCGACGACAGGCCGCGGCCGAGCUCGGGGCAGCGCAGACCGGGGCCGAGGUAGGAGAUGGCCGGUGCCAGCGACGAGGUAGAGGGAGGCCGGCGACAGUGGAGCGAGGCACGGAGCUGCGAGCGUGCAGGAGCGGGAGGGGACCCUAAGCAUCUGAUACCAUGUUAGGAAUGGGCAACUCACAUUCACAGGAGGGCCAAGGGCCAAUACAUAUACAUGUGUAUGACAAAGGCAAGAAAGACUAUACACAUCUAACACUUUUAAAGUGUAAUGUGUAUUUUUUCUCUACCCAUCUUCUCCGUAGGGGAAUAAUAAUAUAUACUGCAUAGCCAUGAAUUUUGAAUGGUUCUCUGAUAUUCUUUGGUCUCAUGUCUGUGUACUGAACAAUGAUAUCUCAUCCUUUUCUACUCUGUGUUGUAUCAUUCACAAUCAAGGCUGCAACUUCAGUUGCAGAUGGCAUGUCAUGUCGUCUUAAUCUCACGUUGUGAUAGACACCUUUUCAAGUUUAUCCUUUGCCAUUCUGAGUGUUUUAGCUAGUACAUGAUAUGGUUCCCUGUGGCAAUUCGACAAUGCUGAUUUGCCGCUGUCUUGGUUAAGCCAUACUACAUGGAAAUUUGUUCUCAUGUUGUUUGGACAAAGAAAUAAUUGAUAGCUACGGUCAGGACCAAAUGUAGCAUGUCUUUAUUUAUUUAAUACACCACUUUAAAUUAGUUGCAGAUCAUAUGGAACUGCAUAGGCGGACGGGCUUGAUAACCAUUUGUGGAUGGUAAACUCUGUAAGAUCAGAUAUUUGUACAUCAAAUACACUGGGUUAUUGAAGAAACUUUUGUAAGCCUGGAAAGAAUGGAAGACACAGAUAACACAAUUGUUGCUCAAAGCAGAAGCAAUCUGUAGUAUUGUUUCCAGUACACCUUACUACAGUCGUGCAUCAUGUAAGAGAAGUUUAGCAGUUGAAUUCAAAGAAGUAAAGAUAGUGGAUGAUAAUACACAUAAAGAAAUAAGUUUGUACAAUUUUCUUCGCUCACGUGGUUCAGAGAUUCUUCUUUUGGCAUAGUUGUGCAGUCUGGCGCAUCUCCAUCUAUGAUCGAAUGUUUUCUCAUUUUCUUGUCUUGAAGUUUCAUUCUCCUCUCCUAACUUGUCAUUGUUUAUUGACUGGACUCACAUCAGUAAGAAAUUAUUUGAAAUAUCUCUACUACUAUAGUACAACAAUUUUUGAAUUUGGCUAGCCAUCCGCUGCAGUGUAGAGGCAAUUUGGUAGCCGUUGAUUUGCUACACAGGGUGAAUCGCCACCCUUCAUCAGCACCGAACUUGAAUGAUCCAACGGUUGAUGUUUGUUGGAUUCGCGCCUGUACGGACGCGCGCCAAAACGCUCCCAACCUGGAUCUUUCCAGACUUGUCACAGCGCGCUACAUGCCUGCACCCAGCGGUCUGGUGCUGUUAAAAAGGAAAUUCCUUUCAAGUUACGAGCAGUUUUUACAUGUCAAAACACUCACAAGCAAACGUAGCAGCAAUUUGACACCACGUGCAUGGCACGUACCUUAUACUAGUUUUCCUGGUCCAAGCUUAAACCUACCCACGUGUGCCUACUUGAAUCAGAAAUCCAAGCUAAAUCUUUUUCUUAUAAUACCACAUAUUAAAGAUUCAUGGUUAGUAAUGGAUCAACUUGUUGUAUUGCAUAUUUGGUAGUUUUAACCACCUUGGCUGUUUUCUAACAUUUUUGCUAUGUGGCCCACCUUUUAUUUCCUUUGGUUCUUCCUGCACAGUGGAGAAGAUGAGAUAUUGUAAAAUCGCUGCGUAGUACUGCUCAAGGUUAUGAAGAUUUAUGCUUUUGAUAUUUUUUCUGCUUACAAAAUUUCGUCUUCGUUGUAGAAAGGAGAUCAACUUCCAAGGCCAGUGGAUGUUAAGUUCCAAUCUUCAUUUGAAAACACAAAUAUUAUGGUACUUGCCGGAGGUGGUCUGCUUGCUCGAUGGAGCCGAUGGCACAAUCAAGGAGAUUUGGACACUCGCUUGUGAGAGUUACUUUUUUUUAGGGAAAUCCAUUAUGACGGUGUAUAUUGAUUUGCAAUAAUAGCUACAUCAGCCAAAAGGACGGCAAGUUAAAAAGCUGGAGGUUGCUUGUCAUGGAUAUGAGUCCAACCUAUUGCGAGUUUUGUUUUUGGGACCGUGAGAUUGAUUGUAAGAUUGGUGUAAAGAACAUGACAUGGAUGGUAAAAUUGAUCGUGAGAUUAGUGUCUU